UACGGAGGGGGCGAGCGUUAUUCGGAAUUAUUGGGCGUAAAGGGCGCGUAGGCGGCUUGACAGGUCAAAGGUGAAAUCCCUCGGCUCAACUGAGGAACUGCCUUUGAAACCGUCUGGCUUGAGGCCGGUAGAGGGUAGUGGAAUUCCCAGUGUAGCGGUGAAAUGCGUAGAUACUGGGAGGAACGCCGGUGGCGAAGGCAGGUCUCUGGGCUAUAACUGACGCUCGUGCACGAAAGCGUGGGGAGCAAACAGG
rnacentral:rRNA from 1 species